AAAAAUAGAAAGAUGGCAGAAGCAAUGAGAGCUAAUGUUGCUGCUUUAUUGAAAGGAAUAGACAGGUACAACCCAGAAAACCUAGGAACAUUGGAGAAGUAUAUACACAUGCAAGCACAAGAAGGAACCUAUGACUUAGAGGCCAAUCUUGCAGUGCUUAAAUUAUACCAGUUCAAUCCCAUGCACUACCAGACUACAGUGGCAUGCCAGAUUCUACUGAAGGCCCUCACAAAUAUGCCACAUACUGACUUUACAUUGUGCAAAUGUUUGAUUGAUGCAGUCAGACAUGACGAAGAACCCACAGCACAGGUCAUGAAUCUAGCUCAUCUGUUGGAAACCUGCCAGUUUAGACCUGUUGAAAGAGCUUCUAGGAGAUAUUCCAGAGGAUCAGGUCCAGCAAUGGAUUAACAAAUAUGGCUGGAAACUCCAGGAAGAUGGGAAUGUGUUCAUUGUCAAUCAGGAGGAGAAUAUCAAAACGAAAAACAUCACAGAGACCAUUACAUUUGAAAGUGUUGCAGGCAUCAUGGCCCAUUGUCGAUGAUCAGAUAUUGAGACUUUUUAUUUAAAACUGUCACUGUCAUUAACCUCCUGUUUAUACUUGUACAUGUACAGUGUACAUGCAUGUGCAAUGUAAACAUUAUAUUUAAAAAAUAAAAACAUGGA
rnacentral:misc_RNA from 1 species